AAGUCGUAACAAGGUUUCCGUAGGUGAACCUGCGGAAGGAUCAUUAUCGAAUUGUAAGGACUUCAGUUGUCGCUGGCUCUCUCUGGGAGCAUGUGCACGCUGGGUUCAAACUCUUCAACUUUAACCUCCUGUGCACCUUUUGUGGACUGUGGUCAGAUAACUCGUCGAGGUCACACUCGGUCUUGCAGGUUGCGCCUCACCCGCGCUCUCUGCUGCAUCUGACUGCGGUUCAUGUCUUACUACAAACUAUGAAUUAAAUCUAGAAUGUCUAAAGGUUGGGACUCGCGCCCUUCUUAAAUGUAAAUACAACUUUCAACAACGGAUCUCUUGGCUCUC
rnacentral:misc_RNA from 1 species